AGGCUCCAAAGUGUGAGGACAGGUGUGUAACACAGAGGCUACAUGUCAGGAAUUAGGGGCUACAUCUCAGGCAAUUGGGGCUCCAAAGUGUGAGGACAGGUGUGUACAAACAGAGGCUACAUGUCAGGAAUUAGGGGCUGCAUCUCAGGCAAUUGGUGCUCCAAAGUUUGAGGACAGGUGUGUACAAACAGAGGCUACAUGUCAGGAAUUAGGGGCUGCAUCUCAGGCAAUAGGUGAGUCUCCAAAGUGUGA
rnacentral:lncRNA from 1 species